AUAGACUGACUCAAUACUAUCAUGGACUACACCAGGUAAUAUAUAGACUGACUCAAUACUAUCAUGGACUACACCAGGUAAUAUAUAGACUGACUCAAUACUAUCACGGACUACACCAGGUAAUAUAUAGACUGACUCAAUACUAUCACGGACUACACCAGGUAAUAUAUAGACUGACUCAAUACUAUCAUGGACUACACCAGGUAAUAUAUAGACUGACUCAAUACUAUCACGGACUACACCAGGUAAUAUAUAGACUGACUCAAUACUAUCAUGGACUACACCAGGUAAUAUAUAGACUGACUCAAUACUAUCAUGGACUACACCAGGUAAUAUAUAGACUGACUCAAUACUAUCAUGGACUACACCAGGUAAUAUAUAGACUGACUCAAUACUAUCAUGGACUACACCAGGUAAUAUAUAGACUGACUCAAUACUAUCAUGGACUACACCAGGUAAUAUAUAGACUGACUCAAUACUAUCAUGGACUACACCAGGUAAUAUAUGAAAACACAGACACCUGGUCUUUCUCUCUCUCAUCUCU